rnacentral:rRNA from 1 species
GUAGGUGGCAAGCGUUGUCCGGAAUUAUUGGGCGUAAAGCGCGCGCAGGCGGUUUUUUAAGUCUGAUGUGAAAGCCCACGGCUCAACCGUGGAGGGUCAUUGGAAACUGAAGAACUUGAGUACAGAAGAGGAAAGCGGAAUUCCACGUGUAGCGGUGAAAUGCGUAGAGAUGUGGAGGAACACCAGUGGCGAAGGCGGCUUUCUGGUCUGUAACUGACGCUGAGGCGCGAAAGCGUGGGGAGCAAACAGGGAUUAGAUACCCUGGUAGUCCACGCCGUAAACGAUGAGUGCUAAGUGUUAGGGGGUUUCCCGCCCCUUAGUGCUGCAGCUAACGCAUUAAGCACUCCGCCUGGGGAGUACGGCCGCAAGGCUG